AACCUGUUCAGAAGAUACCCUCAACAAAAUGAGAAAAGUCAACUCUGAGUUGAGGACUGAACUUGAGGAAACACUGGUUAUGUUGACACUAAGAGACAGAGAAAUCACAAAGAAAGAUGUUAUCAUGGAUAAGAUGAAGAAUUCCCAUGUAGAGAAUCACAAAAUCAUUGAGG